AAGAUACUACCUCCGUCUGGAAAUACUUGUCCUAGAGAUGAAUGUAUCUAGACUUAUUUAAUUGUAGAUACAUUCAUUAUAUUCAUUUAUAGGACAAGUAUUUCCGUAUGGAGGGAGUAUAUG
rnacentral:pre_miRNA from 1 species